rnacentral:rRNA from 1 species
GUGGGGAAUCUUGCGCAAUGGGCGAAAGCCUGACGCAGCCAUGCCGCGUGAAUGAUGAAGGUCUUAGGAUUGUAAAAUUCUUUCACCGGGGACGAUAAUGACGGUACCCGGAGAAGAAGCUCCGGCUAACUUCGUGCCAGCAGCCGCGGUAAUAUGAAGGGGGCUAGCGUUGCUCGGAAUUACUGGGCGUAAAGGGCGCGUAGGCGGACAGCUUAGUCAGAGGUGAAAGCCCAGGGCUCAACCUUGGAAUUGCCUUUGAUACUGGCUGUCUUGAGUUUGGGAGAGGUGAGUGGAACUCCGAGUGUAGAGGUGAAAUUCGUAGAUAUUCGGAAGAACACCAGUGGCGAAGGCGACUCACUGGCCCAAUACUGACGCUGAGGCGCGAAAGCGUGGGGAGCAAACAGGAUUAGAUACCCGGGUAGUCC